ensembl:processed_transcript Snhg1 small nucleolar RNA host gene 1
ACAAAAGGAUGGGUGUACGCUCUCUUUUCAGAAUGUGGUUCAUCUCAAAGCCCUUUACACUUUGGAGCCAGGCCUGUUCAAUUUUACAAAUAACACGUUUUGCUUGUAGUCAGGUAGGUAUUGAUGGUUGGUGCUUCCUUAGGGAGCAUAUUUAGAUGGCCACUUAAUGAUGAACAAUGUAAAUGACAAGCAUAUGGCUGAGUUGCAAUGAUGUCAUCUUACUACUGAAAUGGGCUGAAGAAAGAAGGUGCUGAGGUGGCUGUGAUUACAUUUAAAAAUGACAUUGUUUCUCUGUUUCCAGGGUGCUGUGACAACAUGAAGAGUUCGAGCUACCUCCCAGGAUGAGUGCAGGUUUUCCUGGUGACAAAUCUCAGGCAUUCAAAGGUUCUGUUAGCAGUGCCAUACUUGUGGGUUUACAGAGAUGGUGUGUCUGGCUGAGAACAAAGGAGCCGUACCAGGGAAGUUGAAGCCUAUCUUCAUUUUCAAGUGCAGGCUAAAAUAAGGUCUGAGGAAAAGAAUGAGCAGCGUGUGAAGGAUAGGAACAGAAAUCAUGGAAGAUCUGUUUGUCCAGGCCAGUGUUUCACCAUAAGAGAUCACUUUAAAAUAAAUGAGAUGAAAUAAUUCUUUGCAAUUGCAAAUUUACCUUCCUUGCUUACCACAUUGUUAACUGUAGGGACUGAUAAUCUGGUUCUUCCACUAUUAACUUGUACUCUGUGUUCUAGCAAUAAAUGCUCUUUAUGCUA